UGUACCCUACGGUGUGCAGCAGUGAGGAAGAUUUGACAAUGGGCGAGAGCCUGACCCAGCCAAGUCGCGUUAGGGAGUACUGCCCUAUGGGUUGUAAACCUCUUUUGUCGGGGAGCAAAAGCCGGACGUGUCCGGCUGUGAGAGUACCCGAAGAAAAAGCAUAGGCUAACUCCGUGCCAGCAGCCGCGGUAAUACGGAGGAUGCGAGCGUUAUCCGGAUUUAUUGGGUUUAAAGGGUGCGCAGGCGGAUUUUUACGUCAGCGGUCAAAUCGUGGGGCUCAACCCCAUCCAGCCGUUGAAACUGGG
rnacentral:rRNA from 1 species